GCAUUGAUUGUAAUUGCUGGCAUGUGGAG
rnacentral:piRNA from 1 species